AUGACAGAGUUGCGAUCCGGAUAGGAUGUUAUGAAAAUGAGGGAAGCUUGUGCGUUCGCGUAUCAAAAACGGAAGAAUGGUAGCGAGAAAGAAAAAGGGAAAGAAAAAGCAUAAUUUAUAUAAUGCACUGGGAUAAGUCCCUUCAAGCGCUAGAAUCACCAUAAUCCAAAGUAAAGCCAGAAGGAACAAAAAAAUAUAGUAAGACAUGUUACGUGCCACGAUGGUACCUAGCAGUAGACAGCGAUACCAUCUAUUUCUUUGAACUUUCUGUAAUCGACUUCGAUUAUUCGAUAAAUUAACGAGAAAUUAGAGAAAAAGAUGAGAAAUAAAUAAAAUAGACGAUUAAUGAAAUGA